ACUGUCCUCUCUGGGCAGCCAGGUUUGUCUGUGACGACCGGUCUCUAUAGCCAGACUGUCCUCUCUGGGCAGCCAGGUUUGUCUGUGAUGACCAGUCUCUAUAGCCAGACUGUCCUCUCUGGGCAGCCAGGUUUGUCUGUGACGACCAGUCUCUAUAGCCAGACUGUCCUCUCUGGGCAGCCAGGUUUGUCUGUGACGACCGGUCUCUAUAGCCAGACUGUCCUCUCUGGGCAGCCAGGUUUGUCUGUGACGACCGGUCUCUAUAGCCAGACUGUCCUCUCUGGGCAGCCAGGUUGGUCUGUGACGACCGGUCUCUAUAGCCAGACUGUCCUCUCUGGGCAGCCAGACUGUCCUCUCUGUCAGCCAGGUUUGUCUGUGAUGACAGGUCUCUAUAGCCAGACUGUCCUCUCUGGGCAGCCAGACUGUCCUCUCUGUCAGCCAGGUUUGUCUGUGAUGACAGGUCUCUAUAGCCAGACUGUCCUCUCUGGGCAGCCAGACUGUCCUCUCUGUCAGCCAGGUUUGUCUGUGAUGACAGGUCUCUAUAGCCAGACUGUCCUCUCUGGGCAGCCAGGUUUGUCUGUGCCGACCGGUCUCUAUAGCCAGACUGUCCUCUCUGGGCAACCAGGUUUGUCUGUGACGACCGGUCUCUAUAGCCAGACUGUCCUCUCUGGGCAGCCAGGUUUGUCUGUGACGACCGGUCUCUAUAGCCAGACUGUCCUCUCAGAGUCUGUACCUAGUCAAUUUUUUCCUCAGUUUUCUAUCAGUCACAGUGGUCAGAUAGUCUGCCACCAAGUACUGUCUGUUUAGAGACAAAUAGCAUUGAAGUUUAUUUUGAUUUGUUGUGGUGUCUUUCCAAUAGGUGAUAUAUUUUUAUUUUUGUUUUGUGAUGAUUUGGUUGGGCCAGAUUUUCUGAGUGCUGUCCUGAGGCUCUAUGGGGUUGGUUUGGGUUAGUGAGCUGAGCCUCAGAACCAGCUGGCUGAGUGCUGUCCUGAGGCUCUAUGGGGUUGGUUUGGGUUAGUGAACUGAGCCUCAGAACCAGCUGGCUGAGUGCUGUCCUGAGGCUCUAUGGGGUUGGUUUGGGUUGGUGAGCUGAGCCUCAGAACCAGCUGGCUGAGUGCUGUCCUGAGGCUCUAUGGGGUUGGUUUGGGUUGGUGAGCUGAGCCUCAGAACCAGCUGGCUGAGUGUUGUCCUGAGGCUCUAUGGGGUUGGUUUGGGUUAGUGAACUGAGCCUCAGA